GCCCGCGCCGCCGCCGCACGCCACGCUGCCGCUCACCGUCGAUAAGCCAUCAUGCGUGUGCAGCUACGAAGGAACGAAUGCGCCCGGCACCGAAGAUGCCGACGACUAUCGAAGCGAAUGCGAAAACUGCAAAUCCGCUAGCAGUUCAAGAUGGGUGUUAGAGGAAGGUUGGGAGGCGGAGGAGGAAGACGGCACGCAGACACUACAGCGCCGCGCGCCGCCC